UACCCUGUAGAACCGAAUGUGUGGACAUGCUUCAGCACAGGUUGGGUUCUGGGGGAGUCUGUGGGCAUCGACCCGCCAUCUAU
rnacentral:miRNA from 10 species